GACGAACGCUGGCGGCGUGCUUAACACAUGCAAGUCGAACGGAAAGGCCCUGCUUUUGUGGGGUGCUCGAGUGGCGAACGGGUGAGUAACACGCGAGUAACCUGCCCUUGACUUUGGGAUAACUUCAGGAAACUGGGGCUAAUACCGGAUAGGAGCCCCUGUGGCAUGGUGGGGGUUGGAAAGUUUCGGCGGUUGGGGAUGGACUCGCGGCUUAUCAACUUGUUGGUGGGGUAGUGGCUUACCCAGGCUUUGACGGGUAGCCGGCCUGAGAGGGUGGCCGGCCACAUUGGGACUGAGAUACGGCCCAGACUCCUACGGGAGGCAGCAGUGGGGAAUAUUACACAAUGGGCGGAAGCCUGAUGCAGCAACGCCGCGUGCGGGAUGACGGCCUUCGGGUUGUAAACCGCUUUCGCCUGUGACGAAGCGUGAGUGACGGUAAUGGGUAAAGAAGCACCGGCUAACUACGUG
rnacentral:rRNA from 1 species